UCAUUCAAAGAGUGCGUAAUAGCUCACUAGUCGAGUGGCGCUGCGCCGAAAAUUUACCGGGGCUAAGCAUAGUACCGAAACUGUGGAUGUGUUUUAAAGAGCACGUGGUAGGAGAGCGUUCUAAGUGCGGCGAAGGCUAAUCGAGAGGAUAGUUGGAGCGCUUAGAAGUGAGAAUGCCGGUAUGAGUAGCGAAAGAUAGGUGAGAAUCCUAUCCGCCGAAAGACUAAGGUUUCCUGGGGCAGGCUCGUCCGCCCAGGGUAAGUCGGGACCUAAGGCAAGGCCGAGAGGCGUAGUCGAUGGAUAACAGGUAGAGAUUCCUGUACUGUGUUCAAUCGUUAUGAGCAAUGGAGGGACGCAGGAGGCGAAACACGCAUCGAGCUGGAUCGAUGUUCAAGCAGCGAGUGCGGUUAAGAGUCAAAUGCUUCUAACCAGCAACAUGAGCUGUGAUGAGUAGCGAAGUAAAAGUAGCGAAGGUGAUGUAGUCACACUGCCAAGAAAAGCUUCUAGCCAGAGAGAACAUACCCGUACCGCAAACCGACACAGGUAGUCGAGUGGAGAACACUAAGGUGAGCGAGAGAACUCUCGUUAAGGAACUCGGCAAAAUGACCCCGUAACUUCGGAAGAAGGGGUGCUGGCCAUGAGAGUGGUUAGCCGCAGUGAAUAGGCCCAAACAACUGUUUAUCAAAAACACAGGUCUCUGCAAAAUCGUAAGAUGACGUAUAGAGGCUGACACCUGCCCGGUGCUGGAAGGUUAAGAGGAGAGCUUAGCGCAAGCGAAGGCUUGAAUUGAAGCCCCAGUAAACGGCGGCCGUAACUAUAACGGUCCUAAGGUAGCGAAAUUCCUUGUCGGGUAAGUUCCGACCUGCACGAAAGGUGUAAUGAUUUGGGCACUGUCUCAACGAGAGACUCGGUGAAAUUAUAAUACCCGUGAAGAUGCGGGUUACCCGCGACAGGACGGAAAGACCCCAUGGAGCUUCACUGUAGCUUGAUAUUGAGUAUCUUUUAAACAUGUACAGGAUAGGUAGGAGCCAAGGAAUGCAGGACGCUAGUCUUGCAGGAGGCAAUGUUGGGAUACUACCCUUGUUUGAAGGAUGCUCUAACCUCGACCUGUAAGCCAGGCCAGG
rnacentral:rRNA from 1 species